GGAGAAGUCGCCUAGUUGGUCGAGGGCGCACGACUGGAAAUCGUGUGACCGCCAAAAACGGUCCGAGAGUUCGAAUCUCUCCUUCUCCGCCA
rnacentral:tRNA from 1 species